UACGUAGGGUGCAAGCGUUGUCCGGAAUUAUUGGGCGUAAAGAGCUCGUAGGCGGUUUGUCGCGUCUGCUGUGAAGACCCGAGGCUCAACCUCGGGCCUGCAGUGGGUACGGGCAGACUAGAGUGCGGUAGGGGAGAUUGGAAUUCCUGGUGUAGCGGUGGAAUGCGCAGAUAUCAGGAGGAACACCGAUGGCGAAGGCAGAUCUCUGGGCCGUAACUGACGCUGAGGAGCGAAAGCAUGGGGAGCGAACAGG
rnacentral:rRNA from 1 species